rnacentral:siRNA from 1 species
AUAAUUAAAAAUGGUCGGAAAUGG